GAUGAACGCUGGCGGCGUGCCUAAUACAUGCAAGUCGAGCGAAUGGAUUAAGAGCUUGCUCUUAUGAAGUUAGCGGCGGACGGGUGAGUAACACGUGGGUAACCUGCCCAUAAGACUGGGAUAACUCCGGGAAACCGGGGCUAAUACCGGAUAACAUUUUGAGCCGCAUGGUUCGAACUUGAAAGGCGGCUUCGGCUGUCACUUAUGGAUGGACCCGGGUCGCAUUAGGCAGUUGGUGAGGUAACGGCCCACCAAGGCAACGAUGCGUAGCCGACCUGAGAGGGUGAUCGGCCACACUGGGACUGAGACACGGCCCAGACUCCUACGGGAGGCAGCAGUAGGGAAUCUUCCGCAAUGGACGAAAGUCUGACGGAGCAACGCCGCGUGAGUGAUGAAGGCUUUCGGGUCGUAAAACUCUGUUGUUAGGGAAGAACAAGUGCUAGUUGAAUAAGCUGGCACCUUGACGGUACCUAACCAGAAAGCCACGGCUAACUACGUGCCAGCCGCCGCGGUAA
rnacentral:rRNA from 1 species